GCUGGAGGGAGGUGUGGGACAGGAGGGCUGACGGCUACGCUGCCUUCAUCAUGAGAACUAAGUGUUUUCAGGGACUCAGAUGUACAGACUGCAGCAGUAGCUGAUAAGGAAACAGUCGGCCUCUGUCUCCUCUUCACCAGUUCCUGCCUCAAGUGCACCUGAUGAAGACACCAAAUGAGACGUGUUUAUCUACAGAGAGAGAGCGGGUCAGCUUCCAUGGAGUUCGCCAUGUUCAACCACCGUGUUUCUACAGUAGCCCCAAAGGGACAAACAGAACACUGGCUCUAGAUAGAGCCUUUCACAUUUCACAUGUUUCUGUGACACCAUAGUUUCUGGGGAGGGGGAGGGAGGAGCCAGUGAGUUGCAACUACACCACUAGAUGCCAAUAAAGGCUUCACAAUGUCCUUUAACAUAAACGCCGUUCGACCACGGAGCAUUGCAUUCUGUGAAAUUACAACUGAUUAAUCUGAUUGAUUUAGUUGUUUCCUUGUAUAUAUUUAUAAUUGAUUAUUGGAUAUAAAACUGAUUGAAAGAUUGAUUAUACUUGUUUUAGCACUCUUUAAAUUGCACUGAAGACAGAGGACAGUGUGGACAGAUUUAAUAAAACAAUGACUUUUAGCACAGAACUUGUUUCACUUGAUUUCAUCUAUAAAGCUCUGGUCAGCUCAUUUCCAUUAUGAAUAAUAGUAUUUAAUUCACCUUUGAAUGCUAAAGAAAAUCAGUCUUUAUUACAAGUAUAAUUGAGUAUAAUAUUACGUAUUAUAUUGAUACUAUAAUUGGGGUGUUCCUCCAUAAAAUUCUCAAUACAUGAAUACAAACAAUUAUUACAUACUUUAGACUGAAAUCAUGUAGAUUUUAAUGUCAAAUUUAGAAUAAAUAAGUUAGAAGUUAGAAAGACUCAUGAAGCACAGAAAGUCACACAAGCAGCCACCUCACUGUUGG
rnacentral:lncRNA from 15 species